rnacentral:misc_RNA from 1 species
GUGAAUCAUCGAAUCUUUGAACGCAAAUUGCGCUUCCUGGUAUCCCGGGAAGUGUGCCUGUUUGAGGGUCAGUAUUAACAAAAAAUCGGUUUGGUUGCAAAUUGUGACGUUUCCGGAGUUUGGGCUUAUCUUAACUUUUUUGGUUAAGGGGCUUAAAAUUGACCUUUUUUGCGCAUUUUUAGACGUACAUAAAUUUUUUUUAUUUCGUCUAUUUUAAUUCCCAAAUCCUAUUUAGUGCCGUU